AUUGAACGCUGGCGGCAUGCUUUACACAUGCAAGUCGAACGGUAACAGGGUGCUUGCACCGCUGACGAGUGGCGAACGGGUGAGUAAUGCGUCGGAACGUGCCGAGUAGUGGGGGAUAACGCAGCGAAAGUUGUGCUAAUACCGCAUACGUACUGAGGUAGAAAGUGGGGGACCUUCGGGCCUCACGCUAUUCGAGCGGCCGACGUCUGAUUAGCUAGUAGGGGAGGUAAAGGCUCACCUAGGCGACGAUCAGUAGCGGGUCUGAGAGGAUGAUCCGCCACACUGGGACUGAGACACGGCCCAGACUCCUACGGGAGGCAGCAGUGGGGAAUUUUGGACAAUGGGCGAAAGCCUGAUCCAGCCAUGCCGCGUGUCUGAAGAAGGCCUUCGGGUUGUAAAGGACUUUUGUCAGGGAGGAAAUCCCUAGUGCUAAUACCGCUGGGGGAUGACAGUACCUGAAGAAUAAGCACCGGCUAACUACGUGCCAGCCGCCGCGGUAAUAC
rnacentral:rRNA from 1 species